ACACUGCAGUCGAGCGAACACAGAAGGAACUUGGUCCUUUGGGUGGCGCGGGGGAGAGGUGAGUAACACGUGGGCAACCCACCUUAUUCUUGGGGAUUACUCCAGGAAACCGGGGCCAAUACCGAAAAAUCAGUUUCAGCUCAAGGUGAGGGACUGAAAGACGGUUUCCGCUGUCACUAUCCGAUGGGCCCGCAGCGCAUUGGCUGGUUGGUGGCGUACCGGCGCAACAAUGCGACGAUGGUUAGCCAAGAUGAUCGGGUGAUCUGCAACUCUGAGACUGUCCCAACGCCCACACUCCGCCGGGAGGCGGAAUUAUGGAAUCUUCCCCCAUGCGCGAACCCCUGAUGGAGCAUCGCCGCGUGAGUGAAUAAGGAUUUCGGUUCCUAUAACUCUGUUGUAAGGGAAGAACGCUUACACUAGUAACUGGCUGUACCUUGACGGUACCUUAUUACAAAGCCACGGCUAACUACGUGCCCGCAACCACGGUAGUACCUAGGUUGCAACCGUUGUCCGGAAUUAUUGGGCUUAAAGCGCGCUCAUGUGGUUUCUUAGGUCUGAUGUGGGAGCCCACGGCGCAACUGUGGAGGGUCAUUGGAGACUGGGAGACUUGAGUGCAUAACAGGAUUCUGGAAUUCCCAGUGUAGCGCUGAAAUGCGUAGAGAUUUGGACGAACACCAGUGCACCAACGCGACUAUCUGGUCUGUCACUGACACUGAAGCGCGAAAGCGUGAGGAGCUUACAUGAUCAGAUACCCUGGUACUCCACCCAUUAAACCAUGAUGCUGAGUGUUAUGGGGUUUCCGCCCCUUAGUGCUGCCGCUAACGUCAUCAGCACUGCGACUAGGGUAGUACGAUCGCAACACUGAAGACAUCUGACGGAGUGCACGGACGACCCGCAUCGA
rnacentral:rRNA from 1 species